CGAGUCCGCCGGACGGUCGCGGCACUUCGGUGUCGAGGAAAGUCCGGACUCCACAGGGCACGGUGCUGGGUAACGCCCAGGCGGGGCGACCCGACGGAUAGUGCAACAGAGAGCAGACCGCCGAUGGCCUCCGGGCACAGGCAAGGGUGAAACGGUGGUGUAAGAGACCACCAGCGUCCCGGGAGACCGGGGCGGCUAGGUAAACCCCACCGGGAGCAAGAUCAAGCAGGAACCGGGUGGCCCGCUCCAUGGUUCCAGGUGGAUCGCAUGAGGCUCGCGGCAACGCGGGUCCCAGAUGGAUGACCGUCCCGGGCAUCGCCCGGACAGAAUCCGGCUUACAGGCGGACUCACCCA
rnacentral:RNase_P_RNA from 1 species